UCAACUGUGUCAUUACACCAAGUAAAACGGCUGACAUUGUGCUUCUGAUUAGGCAGUGACCUCUUCCUAACAGAAGGACGAUAAAAGAUAAAACUGUUGCCAGCCUUGCUUUGAUUCAGUUGGAGAGUGACGCUAGCAGGACCGUGCAAUGUGAUGCUUGCUUGGUAUCUUCUCAGUGAAGGAGUCAAACUCACCUACCUCACCCACAAUGUCAUAGUACCUGUCUUUGAUUGUACUUCGGAGCCCAGGCGUUUUCAGCAUCCACUGCCCUCUUCCUCUUGGUGUGAACUUCUGCUUCCUGGCCUAGCAGCAGGCUUGAACACUACUUCAAAUGAACCAGAAUACAGGGCAGUCAUCCUGUGGCACAACAUCCCUUCAUCAUCUCUCCAAUCAACCCAACAGUUACAGGCAUGCAUUUCCCUUUUCUACAGAAAUCAUUUUUUUGUCACAGUAAAUUCGAACUCCCUGUUCCCAACACGAAGCAGAACAGAAUCAGAGAGCUGUCAAAGGUUACGCACGCACAAGAGACUAACAGCUAAUUAAAACGUGUUCACAUCCUGAAA